UACACAUGCAAGUCGAACGGCAGCACGGACUUCGGUCUGGUGGCGAGUGGCGAACGGGUGAGUAAUAUAUCGGAACGUAUCCAAUAAUGGGGGAUAACUAAUCGAAAGGUUGGCUAAUACCGCAUACGCCCUACGGGGGAAAGCAGGGGAUCUUCGGACCUUGCGUUAAUGGAGCGGCUGAUAUCUGAUUAGCUAGUUGGUGAGGUAAAGGCUCACCAAGGCGACGAUCAGUAGCUGGUCUGAGAGGACGACCAGCCACACUGGAACUGAGACACGGUCCAGACUCCUACGGGAGGCAGCAGUGGGGAAUUUUGGACAAUGGGCGCAAGCCUGAUCCAGCCAUUCCGCGUGAGUGAAGAAGGCCUUCGGGUUGUAAAGCUCUUUCGCAAGGGAAGAAAACUUACUUUUUAAUAAAGAGUGAGGUUGACGGUACCUUGAUAAGAAGCACCGGCUAACUACGUGCCAGCAGCCGCGGUAAUACGUAGGGUGCGAGCGUUAAUCGGAAUUACUGGGCGUAAAGCGUGCGCAGGCGGUUUUGUAAGUCAGAUGUGAAAUUCCCGAGCUCAACUUGGGAACUGCGUUUGAAACUACAAGACUAGAAUAUGUCAGAGGGGGGUAGAAUUCCACGUGUAGCAGUGAAAUGCGUAGAGAUGUGGAGGAAUACCAAUGGCGAAGGCAGCCCCCUGGGAUAAUAUUGACGCUCAUGCACNAAAGCGUGGGGAGCAAACAGGAUUAGAUACCCUGGUAGUCCACGCCCUAAACGAUGUCUACUANUUG
rnacentral:rRNA from 1 species